GAUGAACGCUGGCGGCGUGCCUAAUACAUGCAAGUCGAGCGAACGGACGAGAAGCUUGCUUCUCUGAUGUUAGCGGCGGACGGGUGAGUAACACGUGGAUAACCUACCUAUAAGACUGGGAUAACUUCGGGAAACCUGAGCUAAUACCGGAUAAUAUUUUGAACCGCAUGGUUCAAAAGUGAAAGACGGUCUUGCUGUCACUUAUAGAUGGAUCCGCGCUGCAUUAGCUAGUUGGUAAGGUAACGGCUUACCAAGGCAACGAUGCAUAGCCGACCUGAGAGGAUGAUCGGCCACACUGGAACUGAGACACGGUCCAGACUCCUACGGGAGGCAGCAGUAGGGAAUCUUCCACAAUGGGCGAAAGCCUGACGGAGCAACGCCGCGUGAGUGAUGAAGGUCUUCGGAUCGUAAAACUCUGUUAUUAGGGAAGAACAUAUGUGUAAGUAACUGUGCACAUCUUGACGGUACCUAAUCAGAAAGCCACGGCUAACUACGUG
rnacentral:rRNA from 1 species